CCUACGGGGGGCUGCAGUAAGGAAUAUUGGUCAAUGGACGCAAGUCUGAACCAGCCAUGCCGCGUGGAGGAUGAAGGUCCUCUGGAUUGUAAACUUCUUUUAUUUGGGAAGAAACUCCCGAUUUCCAUCGGGAUUGACGGUACCAGAUGAAUAAGCACCGGCUAACUCCGUGCCAGCAGCCGCGGUAAUACGGAGGGUGCAAGCGUUAUCCGGAUUCACUGGGUUUAAGGGGGGCGUAGGUGGGAGGGUAGAAAUCUCCGGGCUUAACCCGGAAACUGCCAUUGAUACUAUUUGUCUUGAAUACUCUGGAGGUGAGCGGAAUAUGUCAUGUAGCGGUGAAAUGCUUAGAUAUGACAUAGAACACCCAUUGCGAAGGCAGCUCACUACGGAAAUAUUGACGCUGAGGCACGAAAGCGUGGGGAUCAAACAGGAUUAGAUACCCCAGUAGUC
rnacentral:rRNA from 1 species